rnacentral:miRNA from 1 species
ACACAAGCUUGUAUCUAUAGGU